AAUGAACGCUAGCUACAGGCUUAACACAUGCAAGUCGAGGGGUAGCAGGGUAGCAAUACCGCUGACGACCGGCGCACGGGUGAGUAACACGUAUCCAACCUUCCCAUAACUCGGGGAUAGCCUUUCGAAAGAAAGAUUAAUACCCGAUAGUACUUUUUCAAGGCAUCUUGAGAAAGUUAAAGAUUUAUUGGUUAUGGAUGGGGAUGCGUUCCAUUAGAUAGUUGGUGAGGUAACGGCUCACCAAGUCUUCGAUGGAUAGGGGUUCUGAGAGGAAGGGCCCCCACAUUGGUACUGAGACACGAACCAAACUCCUACGGGAGGCAGCAGUGAGGAAUAUUGGUCAAUGGGCGAGAGCCUGAACCAGCCAAGUAGCGUGAAGGAUGAAGGUCCUAUGGAUUGUAAACUUCUUUUAUAGUAGAAUAAAGUGAUCCACGUGUGGAUUUUUGUAUGUAUACUAUGAAUAAGGAUCGGCUAACUCCGUGCCAGCCGCCGCAAUAA
rnacentral:rRNA from 1 species